GUACAACAGAGGGUUUGUAAGGGCGGUCGGCUAGUCUCCCGGAGGGGAGGUGAUGCCUAUGGAUAUGUAUCAGACAUUAUCUUAAAUGAUGAUGUUUGGCACGUUCAUCGUGUUAAUCAUGUCGCAAAAGAAAUAGACCGCCCUCUGUAAAGGUGUGCGGUCUAUUUCUAAAUGGACGUACCCAAAGCCCUCCGCUCUUAAAGCGGCUGUUGUACAAGGCCGCAGGUGUACCAGCACCUGCG
rnacentral:sRNA from 1 species